rnacentral:rRNA from 1 species
CGUAGGGGGCGAGCGUUGUCCGGAUUUAUUGGGCGUAAAGCGCUCGUAGGCGGCUCAGUAAGUCAGGUGUGAAAACUCCAGGCUCAACCUGGAGACGCCACCUGAUACUGCUGUGGCUAGAGUCCGGUAGGGGAGCAUGGAAUUCCUGGUGUAGCGGUGAAAUGCGCAGAUAUCAGGAGGAACACCAGUGGCGAAGGCGGUGCUCUGGGCCGGAACUGACGCUGAUGAGCGAAAGCGUGGGGAGCAAACAGGAUUAGAUACCCUGGUAGUCCACGCCGUAAACGUUGGGUACUAGGUGUGGGGCCUUAUCAACGGGCUCUGUGCCGAAGCUAACGCAUUAAGUACCCCGCCUGGGGAGUACGGCCGCAAGGCUA